CUUUACUGUAGCCUGGUAUUGGGUUCGGGCUUUGACUGCGCAGGAUAGGUGGGAGACUAUGAAGCAAUCCUUGUGGGGGUUGCUGAGUCAACGGUGAGAUACCACUCUGUCAAGGCUAGAAUUCUAACCCGCAUCCGUUAUCCGGAGUGGGAACAGUAUCAGGUGGGCAGUUUGACUGGGGCGGUCGCCUCCUAAAAGGUAACGGAGGCGCGCAAAGGUUCUCUCAGGCUGGUUGGAAAUCAGCCGUAGAGUGUAAAGGCAGAAGAGAGCUUGACUGCGAGACCUACAAGUCGAGCAGGGACGAAAGUCGGCCUUAGUGAUCCGACGGCGCUGAGUGGAAGGGCCGUCGCUCAACGGAUAAAAGUUA
rnacentral:rRNA from 1 species